UAAAGGGAAACUCUUGUUACGGAAAAGGUGGAACAAACUUUAGUUGCCAAACAUGUCCUGUUUAUCUAGCCCGCUAAAAUCUCUGAAUACAAUAAGGAAAUAUUCUCAACGAUUAUCAUUGUUUUUUUUAUUUGCAGAAACCUAAACGAACCGAAACAUCGGACAGUAUUGACUACAGUACAGUUUGAAUUACAAGACAGGAAAAAGCAACAAAUUUCAGACGUCCAACAUUCUUCCUGCUCACAUGCUUACAUCUUGUGGCGUCAGAUAAAUAGCCAGUAGCCAAGUAUUGAUGUAGCCGUAGUGGAAUAACUGGGAAACUCUUAAUUUUAUCUUUGAAGAAAUUUAAAUGACAGUAUUGACUGGAGUUUGAAUUACUCAAAGGGAAAAAGACAAAACAGUCCAAAAAAAAAACAGUCGUCCAUCUUUCAUCCGGCAUAUAUCCAUAGGUGUUGGAUAAAAAGCGAACUUAUGGAGCCGAAAUGAAGUACUUGGGGAAAUUAUCUUUGAAGGAAAAGUUACCAAGAACCAGGCGCAACAGGAUUGUUCAAGGAUACAGAAAAUUACUUACUGUAUUACUACCACCACUUAGAUGAUUGCCGACAUCUGUCAAAAAAUGAAACAUUUCAGGAGCUCUAAAGAAUUGUGAAUUUAACUUAAUCAUAAUGCAUCUGAAUGGACAUAUAUUUGAUAUUUGUUCAGUGGUAUUCAGAUGCAGACGAUGGUGCAGAAUACUGUGAUUGUAAUGCUAAGGACUGCUUCAUGAGUAGUUGAUUCAUGGGAUUAUUCCGAAUACAUUUACAGACAUAUGUCAUUUAGUGCAAACAUUUUGUAGUGAGUUACACAGGAUUAUGUCUUCCGUGAUUUAUUUGCAUUAAUAUGCAGAAGAAAAAAAACAGUGAUCAUAAGAUGCAUAGUUUUAUUCAAAAUCAGAGACAUUUUCUUACUGUCACCAAGUUGUUACACUUGAAAUUAUUUUCAUGUUAUUUUUUUUGAAAGCAUCGUU
rnacentral:lncRNA from 1 species